rnacentral:piRNA from 1 species
UCUGCUAGUGGCUCCAAGGAACAGGCAGC